GUUUUGAGCUCUAAUUUCAAACUGGUUUGGGGCCUAUAUAAACCCCACUCUUUCAGCAAUGAAAGAGCAAUGAAAACCACCGAAAUCCUGAUCUUACUCUGUGAUUUUUAGAGCUCAAAAGUGUUGUAUGAGUUAAAAGUUCUUCUCCUUCUCUUCUUCCAAGUUCAGAUCUUUCAAGAGAGGAGAGAAAAGUCUGUAAGGGUUGUCCCCUAAGCCCGUCAAAAGGAGUGAAUCUGUAAAAAGGUGGUUGGCCUUCGCCUAUUGAAGGAAGGCCUCUAGUGGACGUCGGCAACCUCAUCGGUGGAGGAAGCUAGAAGUGGAUGUAGGUCAAGAUUGACCGAACCACUCUAAAUCGCGCUGCUCUCUGGUUUGCAUUUACUUUGAGCUCAUUAUCUUAACUGCAAACCUCCUUCAUAGCCUACUAUGUUCUGCGCUUUUACGUCUACGCUUUCAAGCUCAAUACUUUCCGAAACGUGUUUAGACGUAAAUCGAUUUUCUCGCAAACCACUAUAAAUCGCGCUGCUCUCUGGUUUGCUUUUACUUUGAGCUUAUUAUCCUUACUGCAAACCUUCUUCAUAGCUUACUAUCUUCUGCGCUUUUACGUUUGCAAGCUCAAUACUUUCCGAAUCAUGUUUAGACGUAAAUCGGUUUUCUCGUACGAACAUCGUAUUUCAGUUUGCGCUUAUAUUUUGAUUUCUAUCACAACAGCAAACUGCCUUAAACAGAUUCGUUUUAACUUCCUCUUACCUAAUCACAAGUUAAAGUGAUUUACGAAUCGAAGUUUCUGCUGAAAUCGGCUUUGUCGUACGAACUCAGUUUAAAAACGUAGAAAGUUUUCCGCUGCACUAAUUCACCCCCCC
rnacentral:lncRNA from 1 species